GACGAACGCUGGCGGCGUGCUUAACACAUGCAAGUCGAACGGAAAGGCCCUGCUUGUGGGGGGUUCUCGAGGGGCGAACGGGUGAGUAACACGGGAGUAACCUGCCCUUGACUUUGGGAUACCUGCAGGAAACGGGGGCUAAUACGGGAUAGGAGCUCCUGCUGCAGGGGGGGGGUUGGAAAGUUUCGGCGUUUGGGGAUGGACGCGCGGCUUAUCAGCUUGUUGGUGGGGUGUUGGCUUACCAGGGCUUUGACGGGUAGCCGGCCUGGGUGGGGGACCGGCCACAUUGGGCCUGAGAUACGCCCCAGCCUCCUCCGGGGGGCAGCAGUGGGGAAUAUUCCCAAAUGGGGCGAGGCCUGAUGCAGCAACGCCGCGUGCGGGAUGACGGCCUUCGGUUUGUAACCCGCUUUCGCCUGUGACGAAGCGUGUGUGACGGUAAUGGGUAAAGAAGCACCGGCUAACUACGUG
rnacentral:rRNA from 1 species